AUGACUUGGAACUGCGUCCUCAUCUGGACUCUCCUCUGCUGCUGCUUCACAGAGUCCAGAGGUCAGGUCACUGUGAUUCAGCCUGCAGCAGUGAGAGCUGAUCUGGGAGGAUCUGUUACCAUCAGAUGUAGAACCAGUCAGAAUGUUUAUAAUGGAAAUGAGUUGGCAUGGUACAAGCAGAGAGGAGAGCAACGUCCCACAGCUUUGAUCAAGCUUGUUAAUCAACGACUAUCAGGGAUUUCAAGUCGUUUUACAGGCAGUGGAUCAAACUCUGACUUCACUCUGACCAUCAGUGGAGUUCAGACUGAAGAUGCUGCAGUUUAUUACUGUCAGAGUGUUCAUCUGAUGAACAGUCAGUGGGGCUUCACACAGUGA